rnacentral:snoRNA from 1 species
GAUAAGGUUUCUUAUAAUGGAGUUUUUCUGUAAAUCUGAAUCAUUUGAAGUACCUCACAAAAUACUGUGGCCUGCUUUACUGGCAGGACUACUGUUAGACCUGUAAAAAAGCUAUUACCCAUAU